rnacentral:rRNA from 1 species
GCUAAAUAGAUUCAACCUUUCUUUUGGGUUGGAAUUUCUUCUUAGAGGGACUGGCGAUUAUUAGUCGCACGAGAUUGAGCAAUAACAGGUCUGUGAUGCCCUUAGAUGUUCUGGGCCGCACACGCGCUACACUGAAUCGGUCAGCUAGUUCUUCCCUUUCCGAGAGGAACGGGUAAACUGUUGAACUCGAUUCGUGGUAGGGAUCGGGGCUUGCAAUUAUUCCCCGUGAACCAGGAAUUCCCAGUAGGCGCGAGUCAUAAGCUCGCGUCGAUUACGUCCCUGCCCUUUGUACACACCGCCCGUCGCUACUACCGAUUGAGUGUAUUAGUGAGGUCCUCGGAUUGAUAGCCUGGCGGUUAACGCUGCCUAGCUAACGAAAAGACGACCAAACUGUUGCACUUAGAGGAAGUAAAAGUCGUAACAAGGU